CCUACGGGAGGCAGCAGUGGGGGAUAUUGCACAAUGGGGGAAACCCUGAUGCAGCGACGCCGCGUGUAGGAAGACGGUCCUCUGGAUUGUAAACUCCUUUUGUUAGAGAAGAUUAUGACGGUAUCUAACGACUCAGCACCGGCUAACUCCGUGCCAGCAGCCGCGGUAAUACGGAGGGUGCAAGCGUUACUCGGAAUCACUGGGCGUAAAGAGUGCGUAGGCGGGGUAAUAAGUCAGAUGUGAAAUCCUGUAGCUUAACUACAGAACUGCAUUUGAAACUGUUACUCUGGAGUGUGGGAGAGGUAGGUGGAAUUCUUGGUGUAGGGGUAAAAUCCGUAGAGAUCAAGAGGAAUACUCAUUGCGAAGGCGACCUGCUGGAACAUGACUGACGCUGAUGCACGAAAGCGUGGGGAGCAAACAGGAUUAGAUACCCCAGUAGUC
rnacentral:rRNA from 1 species